AUGGUAGGAUAGAGGCCUACCAUGGUGGUAACGGGUAACGGGGUGUUAGGGCACGACACCGGAGAGGGAGCCUGAGAAACGGCUACCACAUCCAAGGAAGGCAGCAGGCGCGCAAAUUACCCAAUCCCGACACGGGGAGGUAGUGACAAUAAAUAACAAUACAGGGUUCUUUGAAUCUUGUAAUUGGAAUGAGUACAAUUUAAAUCUCUUAACGAGGAACAAUUGGAGGGCAAGUCUGGUGCCAGCAGCCGCGGUAAUUCCAGCUCCAAUAGCGUAUAUUAAAGUUGUUGCAGUUAAAAAGCUCGUAGUUGAAUUUCGGGAUCAAUACGUCGGUCGUGCUUUCGGGUACGUACUGGCGUCAUUGGUUUCUCCUUUCUGACGAACCAUGAUGUCAUUAAUUUGGUGUUAUGGGGAGUUAGGACUGUUACUUUGAAAAAAUUAGAGUGUUUAAAGCAGGCAUUAGCUUGAAUACAUUAGCAUGGAAUAAUGAAAUAGGACGUUCGAUCCUAUUUUGUUGGUUUCUAGGAUCAACGUAAUGAUUAAUAGGGAUAGUUGGGGGCAUUAGUAUUCAAUUGUCAGAGGUGAAAUUCUUGGAUUUAUUGAAGACUAACUACUGCGAAAGCAUUUGCCAAGGAUGUUUUCAUUAAUCAAGAACGAAAGUUAGGGGAUCGAAGACGAUCAGAUACCGUCGUAGUCUUAACCAUAAACUAUGCCGACUAGGGAUCGGAUGAUGUUAAUUUUUUAAUGACUCAUUCGGCGCCUUACGGGAAACCAAAGUGUUUGGG
rnacentral:rRNA from 1 species